UAAAUUUUAUCUUAAAAAAAGAAUUUGUUUUGAAAACAAAAUAUAUUAUUAAUUAUUCAUUUAU
rnacentral:tRNA from 1 species